rnacentral:rRNA from 1 species
GAGUUUGAUCAUGGCUCAGGAUGAACGCUGGCGGCGUGCUUAACACAUGCAAGUCGAACGGUGAAAGAGAGCUUGCUCUCUGGAUCAGUGGCGAACGGGUGAGUAACACGUGAGCAAUCUGCCCCUGACUCUGGGAUAACAGCUGGAAACAGCUGCUAAUACCGGAUACGAGUUGCGAAGGCAUCUUCAGCAGCUGGAAAGAAUUUCGGUCAGGGAUGAGCUCGCGGCCUAUCAGCUUGUUGGUGAGGUAAUGGCUCACCAAGGCGUCGACGGGUAGCCGGCCUGAGAGGGUGACCGGCCACACUGGGACUGAGACACGGCCCAGACUCCUACGGGAGGCAGCAGUGGGGAAUAUUGCACAAUGGGCGAAAGCCUGAUGCAGCAACGCCGCGUGAGGGACGACGGCCUUCGGGUUGUAAACCUCUUUUAGCAAGGAAGAAGCGAAAGUGACGGUACUUGCAGAAAAAGCGCCGGCUAACUACGUGCCAGCAGCCGCGGUAA